rnacentral:lncRNA from 1 species
UCUUCAGCAUUAUUUUUAUACACUUCACCAAACGACAGGGGCAGAGCUACACUUGGUUGAGGGGGUUCGAACCCCCUUCAGUGAAAUUUUUUACUAUUUAUACAUGAUUAAAAUUAUUUUUUAUGUAUAUACAGUAGAGGCCGAACCUCCUUCGAUUAGUUCUUAUGUUUACUUCUGAACCACCUUGACGAAAAUCCUGACUCCGCCACUGCAAAUGACCCCUAAGAGGAUAGGAUAACAAGUGUGUGAAGGUAAGAGGAUGUACCCUACACCUUGUUACAAGAUAAAAGGACCUCAAUACAAAUGUAUGUAUGUAUAAAAUUUUUGAAGUAACUAAAAUACCUGAAAAUGGGAGGAAAAUGUUCGAGCAGGCGUAGGCCCAAAAUAAAUAAUAUCACUAGCGGGCUGGGCGUUAAAAAAAAUUGAUGGAAUGGGAAGAAAAGCAUGUGGGUGCAGAAGUAUUGUGACCAGAGCUUUUGGAGUCUUGUAUGACAGUUCAGAUAACUUUUUCUCGUAAUGUAAUUUUCCAUAUGUUAAAUUUGCUGUUUCUUAUGUCCUACAAGAAACCUAAGUGGUGCAGAAGUAUUGUGACCAUAGUUUUUUGAAUACAGAGAUGUCCACUAUCUGAAACUUCAUAUCUUGCUAUUAUGUUACUUCCACAUAGUUAUGUUGGAAAUAUAAGGCGGACCCUUGAUAAUAUAAUGCGGCACAAAGAGGACGGAAGAGGGAGAUAAAGAUUAAUAUAACCAGAAUACUCCGUUCUGACACAACAACAACAACAACAACAACAACAUACCUAGUGAAAUCUCACAAGCGGGGUCUGGGGAGGGUAAAGUGUACGCAGACCAAACCACUACCUCGUGGAGGUAGAGAGGAGGUUGUUUCCUAGAGAC